CUAGAUGGUGCCAGACAUCCAAGAGUUGGUGCGGCAUUAUCCCGUAGGAAGGCGAUGGAGGAACGGCCAGGACGCCGCUCGCCUUUGUUUCUAAAUUCUGUCUUGCAGUAGUUCAUCUCGUUGACAAACUACUUGUUCUGCUGAUAAAUGCCAAAUCCAGCUGUGGAUGAAACAUGGAGGAAAAGGGGUGGCUCUGUGUCCCUGUGUGCUCUGGGCUUUGCCAGCAGAAGGACCAGGGGAAUGAUGUCAGUGUCAGAUCCAUCCUCAGCAUCUCUGAAUUCCAACUUUAUACCUCAAAGUGCCUGGAACCCCCCAGGUUUUAUAGCAGCAAAAUUACUUCUGGGUGUAAGUGACCAGGUUUAUAGGGCCAAACCCUGCAUUUUUGGCUUCUCCUGGAAGCCUGGGCACUGACUGCAUCUGACUGCAACUGGGAAUUCAUCACCUCUCUCCCUGGACAUGCAAAUUUUACUGGAACUCCCUCAGCUAAGUAAACAAUUUUAAUAAAAUUACAUCCCUGUCUAUCCCAUACCUUUUUCCAUAAAGUUUUGAGGAUUUUUGUGGUUUAAUUAUAUUUUUCAUUUUACAAAAAUAACAGAAAUAUCGGAAGGAGUACAAUAGGGUUUCUUAGAAUGCUGCUUUUAUUGAAAUAAAAGGUUAUAAAAUAGUUUGAUGUAUUUUUUUAUAUUUAUUGACAUCCCUAACAGGAAGACAUUGUAAAUAAGCUCAUUAAUACUCUUUAAAUACAGUCUUAUAAAUUAAUUCUCAAUUACUGCAUGAGGUGAUGGAUUAGAAAACUGUCCUGUGUAAAUAUGCCCACAGGAGUGUGAGUUUGGAAUGAACUUUCUAAGUCACUAAUCAUGGAAUCUGAGGAUGAGAUUUUGGAACAUUUCUCAAAGCGCUGUCCCAUGCAGGAAUUCUCUUCCCAUUAUUUUUAUUUCUGGAGUAUAAAGCCUCUUAUCAUGAUCUUUAAUUGAAGAUGACAUCGCCCUCUUAUCCCUCUUAAGGAAAAACUUUAACAUGGAAACUUCCAUAAAUUCCUCUGCAGUAAAGUGACCCCAUAUUUAAUUUAAUUCUUGUACUUCCAUCAUUUAAUGGACAUUCACGUUCUCCUGUAGCCUUCCACCUUUGUAUCUCUGGGAAAAGUCUUUCCUCUGAUGUCCUCAGGAGUCCAGAUGUCAGAAUCUCUUUUUAUUUUUGGUCUUAAAUUAUUAGGGCUUGAGACAUAACCUGCUAAUAUAUGUUUUGUGUGUCAUCUUUAUUUGGAGAGGCCUGACAUUCUUGGAAGGUCUUUUAAACUGUUUUUUUUUUGAUUGAAGGACUAAUUUAAUUUAAUUUCCUGUGAGGUGAUUUUCAACACCUGCAAGUUCUUGCCCUGUUGGCUGU